rnacentral:rRNA from 1 species
AGUGUAGUUAUAGCUGCAUUAUUUGACGUUAGCGACAGAAGAAAGCACCGGCUAACUCCGUGCCAGCAGCCGCGGUAAUACGGAGGUGCGAGCGUUAAUACGGAAUUACGUGGACGGUAAAGACGCAUGCAGGUGGUUUGUUAAGUCAGAUGUAGAAAGACCCGGGGCGUCAACCUACGGAAUAGCAUUAGUAAACUAGGCAGACUAGAGUACUGUAGAGGGGGGUAGGAAUUUCAGGUGUAGCGGUGAAAUGCGUAGAGAUCUGAAGGAAUACCGGUGGCGAAGGCGGCCCCCUGGACAGAUACUGACACUCAGAUGCGAAAGCGUGGGGAGCAAACAGGAUUAGAUACCCUGGUAG